rnacentral:rRNA from 1 species
UACGUAGGUGGCAAGCGUUGUCCGGAAUUAUUGGGCGUAAAGGGCGCGUAGGCGGCCUUGCAAGUGACGGGUGAAAUCCCUCGGCUUAACCGAGGAACUGCCUGUCAAACUGCGAGGCUUGAGACCGGGAGAGGUGAGUGGAAUUCCCAGUGUAGCGGUGAAAUGCGUAGAUAUUGGGAGGAACACCAGUGGCGAAGGCGGCUCACUGGACCGGUACUGACGCUGAUGCGCGAAAGCGUGGGGAGCAAACAGG